rnacentral:rRNA from 1 species
AGAGUUUGAUCCUGGCUCAGGAUGAACGCUGGCGGCGUGCUUAACACAUGCAAGUCGAGCGCUGAAGCUCCAGCUUGCUGGGGUGGAUGAGUGGCGAACGGGUGAGUAUCACGUGAGUAACCUGCCCUUGACUCUGGGAUAAGCCUGGGAAACUGGGUCUAAUACUGGAUAGGACUGAUCAUCGCAUGGUGGUUGGUGGAAAGCUUUAUGCGGUUUUGGAUGGACUCGCGGCCUAUCAGCUUGUUGGUGGGGUAAUGGCCUACCAAGGCUUUGACGGGUAGCCGGCCUGAGAGGGUGACCGGCCACACUGGGACUGAGACGCGGCCCAGACUCCUACGGGAGGCAGCAGUGGGGGAUAUUGCACAAUGGGCGCAAGCCUGAUGCAGCGACGCCGCGUGAGGGAUGACGGCCUUCGGGUUGUAAACCUCUUUCAGUUGGGAAGAAGCCCUUUUUGGGUGACGGUACCUUCAGAAGAAGCACCGGCUAACUACGUGCCAGCAGCCGCGGUAAUACGUAGGGUGCGAGCGUUAUCCGGAAUUAUUGGGCGUAAAGAGCUCGUAGGCGGUUUGUCACGUCUGCUGUGAAAGUCUAGGGCUUAACCCUGGGUUUGCAGUGGGUACGGGCAGGCUGGAGUGCAGUAGGGGAGGCUGGAAUUCCUGGUGUAGCGGUGAAAUGCGCAGAUAUCAGGAGGAACACCGAUGGCGAAGGCAGGUCUCUGGGCUGUUACUGACGCUGAGGAGCGAAAGCAUGGGGAGCGAACAGGAUUAGAUACCCUGGUAGUCC